rnacentral:rRNA from 1 species
GAUGACGCUGGCGGCGUGCCUAAUAUAUGCAAGUCGAACGAGUGGCGGACGGGUGAGUAAUGUCUGGGAAACUGCCUGAUGGAGGGGGAUAACUACUGGAAACGGUAGCUAAUACCGCAUACCAUCGGAUGUGCCCAGAUGGGAUUAGCUAGUGGGUGGGGUAACGGCUCACCGAGGCGACGAUCCCUAGCUGGUCUGAGAGGAUGACCAGCCACACUGGAACUGAGACACGGUCCAGACUCCUACGGGAGGCAGCAGUGGGGAAUAUUGGACAAUGGGCGAAAGCCUGAUACAGCCAUGCCGCGUGUAUGAAGAAGGCCUUCGGGUUGUAAAGUACUUUCAGCGGGGAGGCGUUACCAGCAGAAGAAGCACCGGCUAACUACGUGCCAGCAGCCGCGGUAAUAC